rnacentral:lncRNA from 1 species
CUGCCUACAUAUAUUGUUUGGAUGGAGCUCUAACAUCAGAGCAGGUUUCCAGAGUUACAAUAACAGAAAGGAAUGCAUUAGGAUAAUUAGUGUCGUCUCUAGUUCCCCCGGGUUGGGCCCCCUCAGCGGGGAAGGCCCUCUCCAAAUGAAUGAAAAGAAACCAAUUCAAAUCAAGCUGCAUAGGUUAUCAGAUGAAAAUAACACAUAUCCCCAUUAAAAUCAAUAGUGAUUGCAUUAUCACAGAGGGUAUUUUCUCUGAUCUGAUGCAGCGCGAGGCACAACAAGCUAUGUAUAAAUAGGGCAUGUUUGCCCUGCCGACUACGCCAGUUAUUCUGACGGGGGAAAUGUACUCUACAUACUUGUGUUUCUUGCUUUUAGAAAUACCUCUCUUGAACAGAUCUAAUCAUGUAAGACAGGAGUUUACACCUGCAGUUGCAUUUGCUCCAUGUGAAUAUAAGACAUGGCAGAUAAUGUUUGUACAAUGUGAGCUGUGCUGUAUCCCACAACCUAUUAGGGCCCGGGGCAAUACUCGUUAGUAUCAUGGCAAGAAAACAAAACAAAAAGUGGAUUUAACUUCUUUAGGAAAACAGCCCUAAUGUUGGAAACAUCAUAAUGUUGUCAUCCAGAGUCACAUGUAUUUAUUUUCCAAGCUAUAGCACACAGUAUUUUAUAUAGAGCAGGUUUUUAAAGGACCAAAGAGUCUGUGUCAUGUUUUCAUUACUGCCACGGAAAAAAUAUUGCGAUACUGGUUUUGUUCCGGCCCUACUACCUAUGGAUCCAUUCGUUGACUCACUUCAAAUGGCUUCUAAGAGGUUCUAAUACGGUGCUUUUCUAUGUCCAAUAGUUUACAGUUGUUUUGACUCAUUCUGGAUGGUCCACUGUUAACUCAUGUCUAUGGAAAUAAAAUGAAUGUAAUAACAGAUUGAAAUGUAAAAAUAGUAAUAAUAACCUCUUCUACUGAGGAACAGCUUGUGAACCAUCAGAAAAUCAUCUAAAACAACAAUCACCGUUUCAAGAAUCAAAAGGAGACAUUUUUCAAAUUAAAUGAGGAUUUUGUGAGGGAAUGGUUUAUCAAAAGAGUAAAUCCAUUUUUAAAUGAAUGUCUUUUUGGUUUCACUAACUGUUCAUUAGCGAGUGUUGAGAAGUAUGUAAUAGGAACAUUUUCCAUCUCUGAACAAUAUUCUUCAAUUAGACCUUUGGAAUACUUGUACCGCAUGUAAGCUGUGUUCUUGACACGCAUUUCUGCACACAUGCCAGAAGUAACACAACCAAUGCCAGUCUUUCCAACACUGGCUCAAAAAACAAGAAUUCUGAGCGCUUAUCUUUAUUAAAAGCUGUAUAUCUGAAAUGGGGACAUUUGCACGACAGACUGCUACAGACUGUUAUGUAGCCUGUGCGUUGUUGUUGCCGUGAAACCUGGAUCGAGCGCACUUCCAGGCGCAGAUUGAUAAAGCAAUCUGCAUAUUUUACACAUAAACAGGAAGCAAAUGUUUGGUGGGAAUUGUAGGGCACUGCAUCUACACCUAGAAGAAGCCAUACACAACAUGACCCAUUCUGUAAGGCUGAGAAGCAAACUGAGAAGAGUGGAAGAUGCUGAAUAUAUCACGGCCAGAGCUUUAAAACUUGCCUCAAAGUGCUUCUAAAGUUACGUUUUUUUCUCUCGUUUUUAUUUUAGAUUUUUGAGUCAUAUAAUUUGAUGUACAGACCAGAUGGCAUGGGAAAUGGACAUUCUCAGUGUAAUAAAUGGAAUCAUCUCAACAAACUACGAGUUCGGAGUGAAUCCUCACUUUAAGAUGCAGCAUUCAGAACAGCAUUCAGAACAGUCGUUUAGCCGAGGUCAGGUGUUGUUCGGCUAAAUGAGGUCAGGUGUUGUUCAGCUAAACGAGGUCAGGUGUUGUUCGGCUGAAUGAGGUCAGGUGUUGUUUGGCUAAAUGAGGUCAGGUGUUGUUCAGCUAAACGAGGUCAGGUGUUGUUCGGCUGAAUGAGGUCAGGUGUUGUUCAGCUAAACGAGGUCAGGCGUUGUUCGGCUGAACGAGGUCAGGCGUUGUUCGGCUGAACGAGGUCAGGCGUUCUUCGGCUGAACGAGGUCAGGCGUUCUUCGGCUGAACGAGGUCAGGCGUUGUUCGGCUGAACGAGGUCAGUCGUUGUUCGGCUGAACGAGGUCAGGUGUUGUUCGGCGGUCACUAGCGGUCAGUAGGACACAGCGGUCACUAGGACAGGCUAGUAAAUCACAUAAAGGCAGGCGCUAAAACAACAGGUGGACAUGCCCUGAGGAAUGCAUGUGCACAGACACACACAUGUCUACAAUGCACAUACAGACAUGCACACACACAUGCUUACUAUACGUACUGUACAGACACACAUUACCCACACACACACACAUGCUUAAUAUAUAUACAUACUGUACAUACACACAUUACCCACACACACACACAUACACAUGCUUACUAUAUGUACUGUACAGACACACAUUACCCACACACACACACACACACACACACACGCUUACUAUAUAUACAUACUAUACAUACACACAUACACAUGCUUACUAUACAUACUGUACAUACACACAUUACCCCCCCCCCCACACACACACACACACACACACACACACACACACACAGUGCUCAGAUGACAGACUCCUCUUUUGAAUUCUGUUUGUGCAGUUCACUCUGUCAGUCAUGGGUUUCUGGGUGAGUUGAGAAGAGGAGAGGAGAAGAUGAAAGUGGAGGCAGGAAUGUGAGCUCCACAUUCCCCCCAAAAAGUGCUCCGCCCCAGGGCUCCCCAAAACCAAAUCAAUACAACCUCCUUCAGCACAUCACACAACUCAGGGGAUCUGCUCACUUUAAUUCUCUCUUUCACACACAGACUAACAUGCAAACAACACACAGACUAACAUGCAAACAACACAUACACUAACAUGCUAACUACACACACACUAACAUGCUAACGUGUGUGUGUGUGUGCGUGUGCGUGUGUGUGUGUGUGUUGGGUACUGGUAAAGGUAAUGGUGUAGUUAAUAAGCUGGUAAUGUGGUUUGAUGCUGGUGCCUUCUGUCACAGGCUCCCCCACAUUUCCUUUUAAUCCAGACCAGUGGAGGCUUUCCUCCCCAUGAAAACCCCCUCUCUCCCUUUAGAAACCCAGGCUGAUGGGCACACAGACACAUACAUAUACACACAAUAAGUGACCACACACACACACACACAGAAAGAAAGCCCAUCUGGCCAUGGAGAGCUCCCCACUCCCUGGGCUCUAAUCAACAGCGGCUCUUCAAGUGCCUGGUGACACACAGCCUGCUGCCAUCUACCCUAACCUAGUGCCUAACCUAGUGUGUGUGUGUGUGUGUGUGUGUGUGUGUGUGUGUGAGCGAAAGAGAAAGAGAUUGUGAGAGAGAGAGAGAGAGAGAGAGAGAGAGAGAGAGAGAGAGAGAGAGAGAGAGAAUGAGGCAGAGAAAGGAAGAGAGUGACAGAGGGAUAAUUAGAGGCUGACAAUGGCUAAGAAAGAGAGUCAAGGAGAAAGAGUUGAGGAGAGAGAGAGUCAAGGAGAAAGAGAGUUAAGGAGAGAGAGAGUCGAGGAGAAAGAGAGUUAAGGAGAGAGAGAGUCAAGGAGAGAGAGAGUCGAGGAAAGAGAGAGUCGAGGAGCGAGAGAGUCGAGGAGAAAGAGAGUUAAGGAGAGAGAGAGUCGAGGAAAGAGAGAGUCGAGGAGCGAGAGAGUCGAGGAGAGAGAGAGUCGAGGAGAGAGAGAGUCGAGGAGAGAGAGAGUCGAGGAGAGAGAGAGUCGAGGAGAGAGAGAGUCGAGGAAAGAGAGAGUCAAGGAGAGAGUCGAGGAGAGAGAGAGUCAAGGAGAGAGAGAGUCGAGGAGAGAGAGAGUCGAGGAAAGAGAGAGUCGAGGAGAGAGAGUCGAGGAGAGAGAGAGUCAAGGAGAAAGAGAGUUAAGGAGAGAGAGAGUCGAGGAAAGAGAGAGUCGAGGAGCGAGAGAGUCGAGGAGAGAGAGAGUCGAGGAGAGAGAGAGUCGAGGAGAGAGAGAGUCGAGGAGAGAGAGAGUCGAGGAGAGAGAGAGUCGAGGAAAGAGAGAGUCAAGGAGAGAGUCGAGGAGAGAGAGAGUCAAGGAGAGAGAGAGUCGAGGAGAGAGAGAGUCGAGGAAAGAGAGAGUCGAGGAGAGAGAGUCGAGGAGAGAGAGAGUCAAGGAGAGAGAGUCGAGGAGAAGGAGAGUCGAGGAGAAGGAGAGCUCUGACAGAUACUGUGCUGUUGUAACAUGAAUCAAAUCAAAUUCAAAUCAAAUGUAUUUAUAAAGCCCUUCUUACAUCACCUGAUAUCUCAAAAUGCUGUACAGAAACCCAGCCUAAAACCCCAAACAGCAAGCAAUGCAGGUGUAGAAGCACGGUGGCUAGGAAAAACUCCCUAGAAAGGCCAGAACCUAGGAAGAAACCUAGAGCGGAACCAGGCUAUGAGGGGUGGCCAGUCCUCUUCUGGCUGUGUCGGGUGGAGAUUAUAACAGAACAUGGCCAAGAUGUUCAAAUGUUCAUAAAUGACCAGCAUGGUCAAAUAAUAAUAAUCACAGGGGUUAUAGAGGGUGCAACAGGUCAGCACCUCAGGAGUAAAUGUCAAUUGGCUUUUCAUAGCCGAUCAUUCAGAGUAUCUCUACCUCUCCUGCUGUCUCUAGAGAGUUGAAACCAGAAGGUCUGGGACAGGUAGCACGUCCGGUGAAGAAGAAAGAGAGUCGAAAGUUCUUGUGUCUAUAUGGCUUGUCUUGCCUGGACCACACUGACUACAGAAGACGACAUAGGGAUUCCUUUCUGUGUAGAAUAGACUACUGUAGAGAAGGCUUUAUUAGAAAGCAGGCUAAUUUGGGCCAUGUGAUCCUCUCAGAUCCUUUACAUGUCAAGCGAUGCAUCCAGGGCAGCUGUGACACACGGACCUUUCAUGUCCAAAACAAUCGCAUCUUAUCAAAUCUUUGGGGAUUCCCGGUGGGCAGGGACAAUUUAUAACAGGUAUUAAGGCCUGCUGAAAGAUCCCUCUGGGUAGCAUGAAUCACUCUUCAGUCUGCUAACAGGAAAAAUGUGCCGCUGGCCUGACCCUGGCAGAGGUGGUGAUUUACAAGGUUCCAGAGCACGAGGGGUCCUGAAGGGGUCCUGAGAGGGGCCAGGGACUGCCUUCUAUUGUGCCUGAUAAUGAAUUAUCCUCCUGCUGAUAAUGAACUCUCAACUGCUAGGAAGGAAGUGGGCCCCCAUUGGCUUAGAAGUGGGUGAGGGGGUGGAGGGGGAAAGCCGGAGGUCACUGUCACUGUAGAUGCCCAAACAGGUGUCAUGUAAACCGCUACGGAGUCCGGAGAAAUCCAGAAAUGAAUGCGCUGUCAUCACCCCCUUACAUCAGCGGCUAGCUACAGCUAGGGUUGGUCCGCCUUUAGCUUGACUGAUGGUGCAUGUGAAACGCUGCACAGAAGCCAUGUGAAACAACCCCCCCUCCAUCGAAUCUCAGGAUCAAUUCCAUUCUGGGGUUAGAUUUAUAAUCCUAAAUUAUUUUGGAAUGUAGGAAUUUUGAUAACACGUUAAAUAUACUGUAAAUGCUUCAACGGUUGACAAAUGUGUCAGGUGGUGUUAAGCUAUGUGGGCUAACAUGGGGCCAGGUGUGUGUGUGUUCAGGGGGGAGGGUGUGUGUGUGUGUAUGUGUGUAUAUGUGUGUGUGUGUGUGUGUGUGUGUGUGUGUGUGUGUGUGUGUGUGUGUGU